ACUGUGGAAUGUUGCAGAGAGAAUUUAUACCAAUCAAGAUGGGCGUGACAUCACUGGAUGAUAAUGAUCUGAUUCAUAAGUUCAUACAAGCAAGUUUUUGGACCAAAACAUCACUAUGCCAUACAUGUCUCUGUGAAGUCAGUGGCUCUUACAGUCAAAUAGGCAUAAGAAGUUCUGGUUUGUCAUGACAUCCAGAUUAAUACAAACAACAAUAUAUUUGGUGGAACAGUUUGAUAAAAUUGAAGAAGGGGAUUUAGAAGUUUUCCCCAUAAAGGAAUGAUAACCAAGGACAUAGAUAUGCUUGAUCUGAUGUAAGUAUUACACAAUGUGUACAUGCAUUGAAUUAUUUCAUAGUAUCUC
rnacentral:lncRNA from 1 species